AACGAAAGCUGGCGCGAGGCUUAACACAUGCAAGUCGAGCGCCCCGCAAGGGGUGCGGCAGACGGGUGAGUAACGCGUGGGAAUCUACCCAUCUCUACGGAAUAACGCAUGGAAACGUGUGCUAAUACCGUAUACGUCCUUCGGGAGAAAGAUGUAUCGGAGAUGGAUGAGCCCGCGUUGGAUUAGCUAGUUGGUGGGGUAAAGGCCUAACAAUGCGACGAGCCAUAGCUGGUCUGAGAGGAUGAUCAGCCACACUGGGACUGGGACACCGCCCAGACUCCUACGGGAGGCAGCAGGGGGGAAUAUUGUACAAUGGGCGUAAGCCUGAUCCAGCCAUGCCGCGUGAGUGAUGAAGGCCCUAGGGUUGUAAUGCUCUUUCACCGGUGAAGAUAAUGACGGUAACCGGAGAAGAAGCCCCGGCUAACUUCGUGCCAGCCGCCGCCGUAACAC
rnacentral:rRNA from 1 species